rnacentral:rRNA from 1 species
CCUACGGGCGACAGCAGUGAGGAAUAUUGGUCAAUGGGCGCGAGCCUGAACCAGCCAAGUAGCGUGAAGGAUGACUGCCCUACGGUUUGUAAACUUCUUUUAUAAAGGAAUAAAGUGAGGCACGUGUGCCUCUUUGUAUGUACUUUAUGAAUAAGGAUCGGCUAACUCCGUGCCAGCAGCCGCGGUAAUACGGAGGAUCCGAGCGUUAUCCGGAUUUAUUGGGUUUAAAGGGUGCGUAGAUGGGUUGUUAAGUCAGUUGUGAAAGUUUGGGGCUCAACCGUAAAAUUGCAGUUGAUACUGGGAGUCUUGAGUACAGUUGAGGUAGGCGGAAUUCGUGGUGUAGCGGUGAAAUGCUUAGAUAUCACGAAGAACUCCGAUUGCGAAGGCAGCUUGCUAAGCUGCGACUGACAUUGAUGCUCGAAAGUGUGGGGAUCGAACAGGAUUAGAUACCCGUGUAGUC